GCUUAUGCGUUGUUGGGUAGGGGAGCGUUCUGUAAGCCUGCGAAGGUGUGCUGUGAGGCAUGCUGGAGGUAUCAGAAGUGCGAAUGCUGACAUAAGUAACGAUAAAGCGGGUGAAAAGCCCGCUCGCCGGAAGACCAAGGGUUCCUGUCCAACGUUAAUCGGGGCAGGGUGAGUCGACCCCUAAGGCGAGGCCGAAAGGCGUAGUCGAUGGGAAACAGGUUAAUAUUCCUGUACUUGGUGUUACUGCGAAGGGGGGACGGAGAAGGCUAUGUUGGCCGGGCGACGGUUGUCCCGGUUUAAGCGUGUAGGCUGGUUUUCCAGGCAAAUCCGGAAAAUCAAGGCUGAGGCGUGAUGACGAGGCACUACGGUGCUGAAGCAACAAAUGCCCUGCUUCCAGGAAAAGCCUCUAAGCAUCAGGUAACAUCAAAUCGUACCCCAAACCGACACAGGUGGUCAGGUAGAGAAUACCAAGGCGCUUGAGAGAACUCGGGUGAAGGAACUAGGCAAAAUGGUGCCGUAACUUCGGGAGAAGGCACGC
rnacentral:rRNA from 2 species